UGUUUCUCGCUCUCGCUUGAACGGUACGGACGUGUGCUGCCGCUGCGCGUGUGUGUAUUUAACUUGGCUUGAGAAUAAAUACUUAAUUAUACAAUACAUAUGUAUUUUGUUCUGAAAAAUGCAACAAAUUGCAUUCAUAACACAAGUGCAGUGAGUUUGACACACAUGCAGUACGUGCGGAAUGGCAGGCAAAUGCUUUAUUAAGCAUAAUACAUAAGUUCAAUUACCAAGAAGAAGAGCAAUAAGAGGCUGCGUCGUCUGUUGUUCAAUAAGUGCACGAAAAGCAAGAAGAAGAAGAAUAAGCGAUUGCCGCCGUUGUCGUCGCCGUGUGUACGUGAGUGCGUGUCCGUGUGUUUGUGUAUGCAUGAUAAGUGCUUGUGUGAGUGCGUGUAUGAAUACAAAAAAGUAGUAGCAGCUGAAAAGUGUAAUAAUAUCAGCAAAGAAA